UACGAAGGGGGCUAGCGUUGUUCGGAUUUACUGGGCGUAAAGCGCACGUAGGCGGAUCGUUAAGUCGGGGGUGAAAUCCUGGAGCUCAACUCCAGAACUGCCUUCGAUACUGGCGAUCUUGAGUCCGGAAGAGGUGAGUGGAACUCCUAGUGUAGAGGUGGAAUUCGUAGAUAUUAGGAAGAACACCGGUGGCGAAGGCGGCGACCUGGUCCUUGACUGACGCUGAGGCGCGAAAGCGUGGGGAGCAAACAGG
rnacentral:rRNA from 1 species